UACGUAGGGUGCAAGCGUUGUCCGGAAUUAUUGGGCGUAAAGAGCUCGUAGGCGGUUUGUCGCGUCGAAUGUGAAAACCCGGGGCUCAACCCCGGGCCUGCAUUCGAUACGGGCAGACUAGAGUUCGGUAGGGGAGUCUGGAAUUCCUGGUGUAGCGGUGAGAUGCGCAGAUAUCAGGAGGAACACCCGUGGCGAAAGCGGCUCUCUGGGACGGUACUGACGCUGAGACGCGAAAGCGUGGGGAGCAAACAGG
rnacentral:rRNA from 1 species